AGGACUGUAGCUAAGUGGUUGAGCAUCUGCUUUGCAUGCAAAAGGUCCUGAGUUCAAACCAUGGCAUCUCUA